rnacentral:rRNA from 1 species
UACGAAGGGGGCUAGCGUUGCUCGGAAUCACUGGGCGUAAAGGGUGCGUAGGCGGGUCUUUAAGUCAGGGGUGAAAUCCUGGAGCUCAACUCCAGAACUGCCUUUGAUACUGAAGAUCUUGAGUUCGGGAGAGGUGAGUGGAACUGCGAGUGUAGAGGUGAAAUUCGUAGAUAUUCGCAAAGAACACCCAGUGGCGAAGGGCGGCCAACUGGUCCGGAACUGAC